UUGCGGCUGGAUCACCUCCUUUUGAGCAAGGCAGCAUCGUCCUGUCGGGCGUCUUCACAAAGUACCUGCAUUCAGAGAAUCACGUCGGCCAGGCCGGUGUGAGAGUCCCUUUUGGGGCCUUAGCUCAGCUGGGAGAGCACCUGCUUUGCAAGCAGGGGGUCGUCGGUUCGAUCCCGACAGGCUCCACCACGUUCGGGCUGUUCCGGAAGUUCUUCCGGGUCUGUAGCUCAGGUGGUUAGAGCGCACCCCUGAUAAGGGUGAGGUCGGUAGUUCGAGUCUACCCAGACCCACCAUUCUCUGAAUGACGCAUACAUUCGAUCUUUAUACGCAUCAGCACUGUGGCUGGUACGUGUUCUUUUACAACUUGUGACGUAGCGAG
rnacentral:misc_RNA from 1 species